GACGUAGGGCGCGAGCGUUGUCCGGAUUUAUUGGGCGUAAAGGGCUCGUAGGCGGUCUGUCACGUCGGGAGUGAAAACACGGGGCUUAACCCCGGGUCUGCAUUCGAUACGGGCAGGCUAGAGUUCGGUAGGGGAGAUCGGAAUUCCUGGUGUAGCGGUGAAAAUGCGCAGAUAUCAGGAGGAACACCGGUGGCGAAGGGCGGCUCACUGGCUCAUAUCUGACGCUCAGGCGCGACAGCGUGGGGGAGCAAACGGAAUAGAUACCU
rnacentral:rRNA from 1 species